rnacentral:rRNA from 1 species
AGCGAACGCUGGCGGCAGGCUUAACACAUGCAAGUCGAGCGCCCGUAGCAAUACGGGAGCGGCAGACGGGUGAGUAACACGUGGGAACGUGCCUUUCGGUUCGGAACAACCCAGGGAAACUUGGGCUAAUACCGGAUACGCCCUUACGGGGAAAGAUUUAUCGCCGAAAGAUCGGCCCGCGUCUGAUUAGCUAGUUGGUGGGGUAAUGGCUCACCAAGGCGACGAUCAGUAGCUGGUCUGAGAGGAUGAUCAGCCACACUGGGACUGAGACACGGCCCAGACUCCUACGGGAGGCAGCAGUGGGGAAUCUUGGACAAUGGGCGCAAGCCUGAUCCAGCCAUGCCGCGUGAGUGAUGAAGGCCCUAGGGUUGUAAGCUCUUUCGGCGGGAAGAUAAUGACGGUACCCGCAGAAGAAGCCCCGGCUAACUUCGUGCCAGCCGCCGCGGUAAC